rnacentral:misc_RNA from 1 species
AAGUCGUAACAAGGUUUCCGUAGGUGAACCUGCGGAAGCACCAGGGAAUGCUGCUAGAGCGUGUGCGAGAGCACGUUCAAGGUUCACAGGGUUGUUUAACGUUGGAUACGUGUUAAUGAUCGUAAAUCAUUGUUGACCAGCUAUUGAGUCAGGGACCUCUGCUUUAAAACGAUGCGAUACGAGCGCCAGAGUAAGUGCGGCCUGGCAUCCUAGCAAUCUGUCAGUGGUUGCGCAAGGAUGGCGCAGUAAACGAUCGCUGUAGGCCCACACGGCCGGCGACCGGGCCUCUGUGCUUCGGCACCUAACGACCCCAUGUUUCGUACCCGGUGCGCUGUAACAACCGCACCACAAACUCGAACAACUGUUAACAAUGGAUAUCUUGGUUCUC